GAGCAAAGGGGCCAUAUAAGUGUUGAUCUUUGCAUUGAAGGUUAAAAUCAAGCUCAACCCUGCAGUUCUUCGUUCAAAGUUGUUCUGUUCUAUGUCGGCCUCGAACAAGCUGCUGCAUC
rfam:Zea mays cultivar B73 chromosome 4, whole genome shotgun sequence.